rnacentral:snoRNA from 1 species
AAACUGUGAUGUGGACACUUGUUCGGAAACUCCUUGAAAUGCUCCCAUUUCUCAUAAAAAGACUCCAUCUCUUUUUGUUGAUAUGGCUAAAUCAUGCUCCUCAGACG